GACGAACGCUGGCGGCGUGCUUAACACAUGCAAGUCGAACGGAAAGGCCCUGCUUUUGUGGGGUGCUCGAAUGGCGAACGGGUGAGUAACACGUGAGUAACCUGCCCUUGACUUUGGGAUAACUUCAGGAAACUGGGGCUAAUACCGGAUAGGAGCUCCUGCUGCAUGGUGGGGGUGGGAAAGUUUCGGCGGUUGGGGAUGGACUCGCGGCUUAUCAGCUUGUUGGUGGGGUAGUGGCUUACCAAGGCUUUGACGGGUAGCCGGCCUGAGAGGGUGAGCGGCCACAUUGGGACUGAGAUACGGCCCAGACUCCUACGGGAGGCAGCAGUGGGGAAUAUUGCACAAUGGGCGGAAGCCUGAUGCAGCAACGCCGCGUGCGGGAUGACGGCCUUCGGGUUGUAAACCGCUUUCGUCUGUGACGAAGCGUGAGUGACGGUAAUGGGUAAAGAAGCACCGGCUAACUACG
rnacentral:rRNA from 1 species